rnacentral:misc_RNA from 1 species
AAAUGCGAUAAGUAAUGUGAAUUGCAGAAUUCAGUGAAUCAUCGAAUCUUUGAACGCACCUUGCGCUCCUUGGUAUUCCUUGGAGCAUGCCUGUUUGGGUAUCAUGAAAUCUUCAAAGUAAAUCUUUUGUUAACUCAAUUGGUUUCUACUUUGGUAUUGGAGGUCUUUGCAGCUUCACACCUGCUCCUCUUUGUUCAUUAGCUGGAUCUCAGUGUUAUGCUUGGUUCCACUCGGCGUGAUAAGUUAUCUAUCGCUGAGGACACUGUAAAAGGUGGCCAAGGUAAAUGCAGAUGAACCGCUUCUAAUAGUCCAUUGACUUGGACAAUACUUUUAUGAUCUGAUCUCAAAUCAGGUAGGACUACCCGCUGAACUUAAGC